GGGACACGUGGUAUCCUGUCUGAAUAUGGGGGGACCAUCCUCCAAGGCUAAAUACUCCUGACUGACCGAUAGUGAACCAGUACCGUGAGGGAAAGGCGAAAAGAACCCCGGCGAGGGGAGUGAAAAAGAACCUGAAACCGUGUACGUACAAGCAGUGGGAGCCUCUUUAUGGGGUGACUGCGUACCUUUUGUAUAAUGGGUCAGCGACUUAUAUUCUGUAGCAAGGUUAACCGAAUAGGGGAGCCGAAGGGAAACCGAGUCUUAACUGGGCGUUAAGUUGCAGGGUAUAGACCCGAAACCCGGUGAUCUAGCCAUGGGCAGGUUGAAGGUUGGGUAACACUAACUGGAGGACCGAACCGACUAAUGUUGAAAAAUUAGCGGAUGACUUGUGGCUGGGGGUGAAAGGCCAAUCAAACCGGGAGAUAGCUGGUUCU
rnacentral:rRNA from 1 species